rnacentral:rRNA from 1 species
AACGAACGCUGGCGGCAUGCCUAACACAUGCAAGUCGAACGAGACCUUCGGGUCUAGUGGCGCACGGGUGCGUAACGCGUGGGAACCUGCCCUUAGGUUCGGAAUAACUCCCCGAAAGGGGUGCUAAUACCGGAUAAUGUCUUCGGACCAAAGAUUUAUCGCCUUUGGAUGGGCCCGCGUUGGAUUAGCUAGUAGGUAGGGUAAAAGCCUACCAAGGCGACGAUCCAUAGCUGGUCUGAGAGGAUGAUCAGCCACACUGGGACUGAGACACGGCCCAGACUCCUACGGGAGGCAGCAGUGGGGAAUAUUGGACAAUGGGCGAAAGCCUGAUCCAGCAAUGCCGCGUGAGUGAUGAAGGCCUUAGGGUUGUAAAGCUCUUUUACCCGGGAUGAUAAUGAUAGUACCGGGAGAAUAAGCUCCGGCUAACUCCGUG